rfam:Echinostoma caproni strain Egypt genome assembly, scaffold: ECPE_scaffold0003918
GAACUACGGACGAGUCCCUAACAGGACGAAACAGCUGUCCAGUGC